CGGUCCAGACUCCUACGGGAGGCAGCAGUAGGGAGUAUUUGGCAAUGGGGGAAACCCUGACCGAGCAACGCCGCGUGUGCGAUGGAGUCCCUCAGGGACGUGAAGCACUGUGGGGGGCCGCCAAACGGGCGGGCAGGAAAUGGCCCGUCCCCGAGGAGCCCCCUAGAAAGCGACUGCUAACCACGUGCCAGCAGCAGCGGUAAUACGUGGGUCGCAAGCGUUAUCCGGAAUCAUUGGGCGUAAAGAGUGAGCAGGCGGUCCGGGAAGUCCGCGGUGAAAUGCGGGGGCUCAACCCCCGCAGGCCGCGGAUACUUCCGGUCUGGGGUGCGGGAGAGGCGGACGGAACUCCGCGUGUAGCGGUGAAAUGCACUGAUACGCGGAAGAACACCGGUGGCGAAGGCGGUCCGCCAGACCGAUACCGACGCUCAGUCACGAAAGCGUGGGGAGCAAAUAGGAUUAGAUACCCUAGUAGUCCACGCCGUAAACGAUGGGGGCCAGGGCGCGGGGUCGACCCGCGUCCGAAGCAAACGCAUUAAGCCCCCCGCCUGGGUACUACGUUCGCAAGAAUAAAACUUAAAGGAAUUGGCGGGUGCCCGCACAAGCAGUGGAGCAUGCGGUUCAAUUCGUGGCUACACGUAGAACCUUACCAGGGUUUGACAUGCCGGCAAAGGCCCCGGAGACGGGGAGAUAGCUAUGCCGGACAAAGGUGGUGCAUGGCUGUCGUCAGCUCGUGUCGUGAGAUGUUAGGUCAAGUCCUCCAACGAGCGCGACCCCCGCCGCCAGUUGCCAUCAUCAGGUUGGGCACUCUGGCGGGACCGCCGGCGACAAGCCGGAGGAAGGCGGGGAUGACGUCAAGUCAUCAUGCCCCUUAUGCCCUGGGCCACACGCGUGCUACAAUGGCCGGCACAGUGGGAAGCGACGCCGCGAGGCGGAGCGGAUCCCAAAAGCCGGUCCCAGUACGGACCGGGGGCUGCAACCCGCCCCCGCGAAGCUGGAAUUGCUAGUAAUCGCGGAUCAGCCAAGCCGCGGUGAAUGCGUUCUCGGGCAUUGCACACACUGCCCGUCACACCAUGAAAGCCUGCAACGCUCUAAGUCGCCAGCCCGACCCGCGAGGGGGGGCGGCGCCCAAGGCGGGGCCGGUGAUUGGGGUUAAGUCGAAACAAGGUAUCCCUACGAGAACGUGGGGAUG
rnacentral:rRNA from 1 species